CGGUCACUUCAUCAAGCGACGCCACGAGGAGAGGUUAUCCAAAAUCUCAGGUGAGCAUACUCGAAGCAAUUCUUAGCGUCCGUUGAAUCAAUUUCCAAUAUUAUAAUUCCGCUAUCUACGCAUCACUAAUGAUGAAAAUAUUUGUCUCGUUCGUAUGAACUGUUGUAUGAUUAUAACUACAAACCUGAAAAUCACGUGUAAUGUGUACUCUACUCUGAGAGAAUGAACUGACUCUGUUUGCUUAGUAAUUUUUCCUAUUGCAUUUUCAGUUCCACAACGUAGCUGAUCUAUCAAGAGAAUCAUUAACCAUGAGGGAAGUUAGCUGCAAGUUUCCACAGACUGAGAAAAAUGAACGAAUUCGUAUGACUGUACAUUUGCAGCGAAAAAGAAAAAAGAUGACGUGAUACAGGAGGAGGAUUCAGAUGGUGAAGAAAAACUCUUACCCACUUAUGCAAAUGUUUGAAAUAUCAAGGUCAAUUAGAGCCCUGGAUCAAUAACUACAAAAAAGUCUGAUUUCAGCCUAUAGUGGGUUAUCAUGAAUUCGAUUGGAACGGGCACUGUCAAUGGCAGCAGAGACAAGGUGAAAUUGAGAACCAUCCAAAUGCAGUUUGCAUAGAGCGGCAUUUCCAUCAUUUAUAAUAAUGACUACCUCAAGCUGCCUGGAGGUACAUAAUUCUCGAAAUGGAGGACCAUUUGACACGUUCGAUGGAAAUGCCAGAUAAAAAUGUCUCAACGAGUGACUUGAAUUCUUUCGACAUGCAUCUGAUUUGACAGAAGCUGGUUUCCAGUUUUUAUUAAUUAACGGAAACUUAACUCUGAUGAAGAUAGUAUCCCCGGGUAUCGGAUUCUGUAAUCAAUAAUAAUGUAUUUCUGUGCAAUUAAAAAAAAAAAAUACAUAGAAACAUAUAUAUUUGGAGUAUUUUCUUCUAUCAAAAGAAUAGUUUCUAAACGUAAAAUUGUCACGCGGUAAAAACCUUUAAACUGAUAACUUCCAGAUUGCUGUUGAGAAAACACGGUUUCGUAGUUUUUAUUGGAAUUUUCCAGGGAGCAAUUAUAAGUUAUAAUUUAUGAGUUUGAACAAUUUUGAUAUUGUCACAAGUAGUACAGUACUACAGUAAACUCCUGUUUUGAAUCGCCCGAUUUUGUAUAUAGUGUUGGAACACUGUAAUUAUAUUUAGGAAUUGGGAGAAAGAU